AACGAACGCUGGCGGUAUGCCUAACACAUGCAAGUCGAACGAGACCUUCGGGUCUAGUGGCGCACGGGUGCGUAACGCGCGGGAACCUGCCCUUAGGUUCGGAAUAACUCCCCGAAAGGGGUUCUAAUACCGGAUAAUGUCUUCGGACCAAAGAUUUAUCGCCUUUGGAUGGGCCCUCGUUGGAUUAGCUAGUUGGUAGGGUAAAAGCCUACCAAGGCGACGAUCCAUAGCUGGUCUGGGAGGAUGAUCAGCCACACUGGGACUGAGACACGGCCCAGACUCCUGCGGGAGGCAGCGGUGGGGAGUAUUGGACAAUGGGCGGAAGCCUGGUCCAGCAAUGCCGGGUGAGUGAUGAAGGCCUUAGGGUUGUAAAGCUCUUUUACCCGGGAUGAUAAUGACGGUACCGGGAGAAUAAGCUCCGGCUAACUCCGUG
rnacentral:rRNA from 1 species